UAGUAAAAGAAAAUAAUAAUUCAUCGUCACAAAUAGUGAGUCCCAAAAGUGUUUUAAAGCGUUUUCUUAUCAUUUACUCUGCGUCCAAGAAUUAUGAAACUAGUAGUUGAUAUGUUGGAGAGAGAAGGCGAAUACAAAGGAAUAAUUAGGCGCUGAGCGUGCUGCAUUUCCAUUUCCAUGGGACAUAAAGGGUUUCUAUUCAAGGCUUAAUCAUUAACCCACAUUUUUUACCAAGGAAAAAAAAUCUGGGUUAAACACAAGGACGCGCAGUUCGUUUUGGCUAUCUACGCCUGAUAUACUCCUUAUGGCUACGAAGAACACACCGUGCGCAUUUUAGUCAAAAGGCAACCGCAGAUCAAAGCUUUUUAUGUCUAUUAAAGGAUAACCCCACCAAGAAGAUGGUGUGAAAAAUGAGCAAGACUUUCAUAACCAAAAGGCAAGGCAAGGGACACACAGCGUGGAACACUGAAGAAGAGAGCCGGCAGCGUGGGGGGAAUCCCUCUGCAUGAUGUUAAGCUGUCAGCAGGAUGUGAGGCUCUAUAUCUCCGUGGUCUAAGAAAUAAUCCUACGUUGCCUUUCGCCACUGCUCCUGAACUUUUCCCUGACCCGCGCAAAGGCAUGAAGAGUUUGAGUGGGAAAUUGUUUGUGCUUCAAAAUAUGAAGAAAAUGGAAAUCAAAGGCCCACAGAUUGUAGCAAAAACUUUUCCCUUACAUUCUGAUGCAAUCAUUUUCAUAUUUUCCAUUGCACUAAGGUAUUGAUUGAUGAUGUGUUAUAUCUCAAUAACACAAAUGUUUCAGAUGUAUUUAUACAAAUCAAGGAUCCUUAUCACUGUCAGCAAGAUGAGGUUAAAGGCACAGACCUCUGGAUGUUGGCCAGACGGUGGUCCAUAUCUACCCACAAUGUUGACACUGCGAGCUCUUAACAGCCAGGCUUGGGUUACCUAUUCUCUCAGCCGAAGAUAACUGCUUCUGCAAGGUUUACCCCGGCCAACAUCAAGGCUAAUGCGAAAUUCAACGCCUACAGCUGAGUGGAGCCAUUUCUAAUUAGCCUCAGACCAACAAUGUGACGGAGUAGCAAAAGACUUGUUUGCUUGAAGGAAAUAAUAAAGCAGUUUUUAUCUUA